AUCUGUGCUUGUUAUUGAAUUGAAAUUUAGAGAGAGUUUCGUGUGAAUAAUCUAGGAUUUACUUAUGGCGUCAUUGGACCAUUUUGGGGAUAUUGCAAAUAUUGCACAGCUUACUGGAAUCGAUGCGGUGAGGCUAAUUGGGAUGAUUGUGAAAGCUGCUGCUACAGCUCGGAUGCACAAGAAGAAUUGCAGGCAGUUUGCACAGCAUCUCAAGCUAAUUGGAAAUUUAUUGGAGCAGCUCAAGAUUACUGAACUUAAGAGGUAUCCGGAAACCCGAGAGCCAUUGGAACAUCUUGAAGAUGCAUUGAGGAGGUCUUAUUUAUUGGUCAACAGCUGUCAGGACAGGAGCUACCUUUAUCUGUUGGCUAUGGGGUGGAACAUUGUAUACCAGUUUCGUAGGGCUCAGAACGAGAUUGACCAAUACUUGAAGAUUAUUCCUCUUAUCACUCUGGUUGAUAAUGCUCGAGUCAGGGAAAGGUUGGAAUAUAUUGAAAUGGACCAGCGUGAAUACACACUGGAGGUUGAAGACAUGAAGGUGCAAGAAGUGAUUAUGAAACCAGAGCCUUCUAAAG
rnacentral:misc_RNA from 1 species